rnacentral:rRNA from 1 species
UUGACCUCGGAUCAGGUAGGAAUACCCGCUGAACUUAAGCAUAUCAAUAAGCGGAGGAAAAGAAACCAACAGGGAUUGCCCUAGUAACGGCGAGUGAAGCGGCAACAGCUCAAAUUUGAAAUCUGGCCUCGGCCCGAGUUGUAAUUUGCAGAGGAUGCUUCUGGCGCGGUGCCUUCCGAGUUCCCUGGAACGGGACGCCACAGAGGGUGAGAGCCCCGUAUGGUCGGACACCAAGCCUGUGUGAAGCUCCUUCGACGAGUCGAGUAGUUUGGGAAUGCUGCUCUAAAUGGGAGGUAAAUCUCUUCUAAAGCUAAAUACCGGCCAGAGACCGAUAGCGCACAAGUAGAGUGAUCGAAAGAUGAAAAGCACCUUGAAAAGGGGGUUAAAUAGUACGUGAAAUUGUUGAAAGGGAAGCACUUGUGACCAGACUUGGGCCGGGCGGCUCAUCAGGGGUUCUCCCCUGUGCACUCCGCCCGGCACAGGCCAGCAUCGGUUUUCGCGGGGGGACAAGACCGCCGGGAACGUAGCACCCUCCGGGGUGUGUUAUAGCCCGGCGGACGAUACCCCCGCGGGGACCGAGGUCCGCGUCC